rnacentral:rRNA from 1 species
UACGUAGGGGGCUAGCGUUGUCCGGAAUCAUUGGGCGUAAAGAGCGUGUAGGCGGCCCGGUAAGUCCGCUGUCGAAGUCAAAGGCUCAACCUUUGAAUGUCAGUGGAUACUGCCGGGCUAGAGUCCGGAAGAGGCGAGUGGAACUCCUGGUGUAGCGGUGGAAUGCGCAGAUAUCAGGAAGAACACCCGUGGCGAAGGCGGCUCUCUGGGACGGUACUGACGCUGAGACGCGAAAGCGUGGGGAGCGAACAGG